GAGCUAUCUGGGCACCCUACUUUGUGUUUUUAUAUGGAUAUUAGGUCCGGACCAAACGGAGGAUGAUAGAGAAGCGUGAUUGCAUAAUGUGCUUUUUAAAUGUGUAACGUUACAUUAUGCUGUUACCACAGUGGUGGUUAACAUUGCUGUUUUUCUUUUCUGUAUUGUACGUUAGAUAAUGAAGUUGACGGAGAAGCAGUGGACUAUGGAUUGACUGAGAGGAUGGUUUCAUACCUCUUUGAAGGAUCGUUUAAGAAGCAAGCCAAAUUCAACCGAUUUGUACAGCAGUGGAAAGAAACCGUGACACUAACCGUUGAGCCUGUCCCGGUACAUUCAGAGAAGGCUACAGUGGAAUCAAGAAUGAAUAUCUGCAGAAGAUUUGAAGAUGGCUUUAAGAUCCUAGUACCCACAGUGCUUAGACUGACUCAAAGGAAAUCUCCCCUUGCAGAUCUGGCUUUGGAGGAAAGAGAGGCUGCCCCACCGAAGAUGUCCCUGGGAUUGAUUUCAGAGCUGCAAUCCUGCUGUUGCCGAUCCUGUUCAGGGAGAAAAAUGACAUUCUCAUCAUACUUGGAGAGGUGUGUAAUUUGCGUAUACUUAUUUUUUGUUUACAUUACUUCACGCAGAGACUGGGAGAAUUAUAUGCAUCCCUUGGAUGUCUUAUUUCAUAAUACAAAGUUUCUAGCUGUCAAUACUGGGCCUUGGUGUGGACAUGGGGGAACG